rnacentral:rRNA from 1 species
UACAGAGGGGGCAAGCGUUAUUCGGAAUUAUUGGGCGUAAAGGGCGCGUAGGCGGCCUGGCAAGUGGAAGGUGAAAUCCCUCGGCUUAACCGAGGAACUGCCUUCCAAACUGCUUGGCUUGAGUCCGGGAGAGGUGAGUGGAAUUCCCAGUGUAGCGGUGAAAUGCGUAGAUAUUGGGAGGAACACCAGUGGCGAAGGCGGUUGCCUGGAGCUUUGCUGACGCUGAGGCGCGAAAGCGUGGGGAGCGAACAGG